rnacentral:rRNA from 1 species
UACGUAGGUGGCAAGCGUUGUCCGGAAUUAUUGGGCGUAAAGCGCGCGCAGGCGGUCCUUUAAGUCUGAUGUGAAAGCCCACGGCUCAACCGUGGAGGGUCAUUGGAAACUGGGGGACUUGAGUACAGAAGAGAAGAGUGGAAUUCCACGUGUAGCGGUGAAAUGCGUAGAGAUGUGGAGGAACACCAGUGGCGAAAGCGACUCUUUGGUCUGUAACUGACGCUGAGGCGCGAAAGCGUGGGGAGCAAACAGG